rnacentral:rRNA from 1 species
UACGUAGGGUGCGAGCGUUAAUCGGAAUUACUGGGCGUAAAGGGUGCGCAGGCGGUCUCGUAAGCUGGGUGUGAAAAGCCCCGGGCUUAACCUGGGAAUGGCAUUCAGGACUGCGAGGCUUUGAGUGUGGCAGAGGGAGGUGGAAUUCCACGUGUAGCAGUGAAAUGCGUAGAGAUGUGGAGGAACACCGAUGGCGAAGGCAAUCCCCUGGGCCUGCACUGACGCUCAUGCACGAAAGCGUGGGAGCAAACAGG